rnacentral:rRNA from 1 species
CCUACGGGAGGCUGCAGUGAGGAAUAUUGGUCAAUGGACGAGAGUCUGAACCAGCCAAGUAGCGUGAAGGAUGACUGCCCUAUGGGUUGUAAACUUCUUUUAUAUGGGAAUAAAACAGGGCAUGCAUACCCUCUUGUAUGUACCAUAUGAACAAGCAUCGGCUAACUCCGUGCCAGCAGCCGCGGUAAUACGGAGGAUCCGAGCGUUAUCCGGAUUUAUUGGGUUUAAAGGGAGCGUAGGUGGAUUGUUAAGUCAGUUGUGAAAAUUUGGGGCUCAACCGUAAAAUUGCAGUUGAAACUGGCAGUCUUGAGUGCUGGAGAGGUAGGCGGAAUUCGUGGUGUAGCGGUGAAAUGCUUAGAUAUCACGAAGAACUACGAUGGCGAAGGCAG